AAACUGGGAGGCUUAAAACGACAGAACUUUUUUCUCCCAUAAUCUGGAACCUAGAGGUUCCAAAUCAAGGUGUUGGCAGGGCCAUACUCUCCCUGAAGGCUCUAGAGGUGAAUUUGGUCCUUGGCUUUCUCUUGGCUUCCAGUGUCGCUGCCAAUCCUUGGUGUUCCUUGACUUGUGGACCCAUCACUCCAAUCUGCCUCCGUUGUCACAUGACAUUCUACAUUCUCCUCGUGUGUCUGGCUUUGUGUCUUCUUCUUUUCUUGUAAGGACACCCAUCACAGUGGGUUAAGGGCCCACCAUAUUCCAGUAUCAUCUCAAGAUAACGGUGUGACAUAAUGGUGCGGCAGAGGUUAUGGCAGCUCCUAAUCACCAAAGACAAGGCUUGUCUGUGUAUUUGAUGGAACACUGACCUUUUCCAGACUUUAUGAACUGACUUCUAUGAGGAAAGAUCUUCACAUGCUGGGGAUGAAGUGGCAACCAAGAAGAUUUCUCUUGAUGCUGAGCUAUGCAGGCCUGAGAUAUGAGGUUACACAGAGUCUCACUCUGUGCCAGGCUGGAGUGCGGUGGUGCGAUCUCGGCUUACUGCAACCUCCACCUCCCGCGUUCAAGUGAUUCUCCUGCCUCAGCCUCUCAAGCAGCUGGGACUACAGGCGCCCACUACCACGCCCAGCUAAUUUUUGUAUUUUUAGUAGAAACGGGGUUUCACCAUGUUGGCCAGGAUGGUCUCGAUCUCUUGACCUCGUGAUCCACCUGCCGCGGCCUCCCAAAGUGCUGAGAUUACAGGCGUGAGCCACUGCGCCUGGCCAAGAAGAUAAUAGUAUUUCUUACUAUUAUUUAUUACUAUGUAAUGGCAUUGGUAGGAGAUCCAGACUGGAUGGCACCUCCAAUUAUCAGGAACCGGAGCCCCCUUCUUUUGGUUCUACCAUUCUCAACUUGUUGCUAUCAUUUCAUGGUCCUAGAUGGCUGCCCAGCAACUUCCACAUCAUAUGCAUUCCAGCAAGAAGAAAUGAAAAAUGCAGGGAGAGGGGUUAUUUAUCCUAACGUUAAGUCAGGACCAGGAAGUGGCCCUUGGCACUUCCGUUUAUGUCUGAUUGGCCAGCACUUAAUUGCCUGCUGCGCCUGGUUCUGUGGGAUACUGGAACGUUAGGCUUUAGCUGGGAGGCUAUGCAAGAGUUAAAAUUCCAUUUUCCGGGAUACGAAGAGAAUGCUUUUUGGAGGUACAAUGAGCAAUUGAACCUCAUGAACUAAUAAUGCAUCACAUUUUCUUUUUAAAGAUAAUAACUCAAGGUACACAUUAAAAUUUAUUUGUAAAAGGUGUUAAAGUAAAAAUCCCCCUUAACAUUCCACUCCAUAUCCAUUUUCCUCCACAGACUUAAUCACUGUUAACAUUUUGAUGCUUUCUUCUUUGUAUUUUCAUGUAAUAACAUAUCAUAUUUACUACGCACCUAUUCAACUGCCUUUUUUAACCAAAUAAAAAUGUUAUUACAUAGUCUGGUUUUUCAUUUAACUAUAUGUCUUAGAGAUUGUCCUAUUUUGUUUUGUAUGGUUUUAUCUAAAUCUACUAAGCUGAUGCAUAGAAUUUGACAGUGUAGUCAUACCAUAUAUGAUUUAACUGGUCCCCAUUAAUAGACAUUUAGGCUGUUUCUAAUUUGUUUGCAAUUCAAAAAUUUAUUUCACAAAGAUACUGAAUUUUAUGACCAGAGCCUGUGUUAUAGUAAACUGUGGGUAUAUUUCUAUGGAAUAGAUCUAUUGAGAGCAGUUUAUGCAUCAAAGUAUAUAUUCAUUUAAACAUUCUUGCAUAUUUACUUUUUCAUGAGAAC
rnacentral:lncRNA from 10 species